GGAGAUGGGGCCGGAGGGAUGCAGAAUCUUAAGAGUUUGGUUUUAAUAGAGUUCAGUAAAAGUGUGAGCAUGAACUCCUAAGCAGCCAGAGACUCCAGGAGCUCUUUCUACUUCAGAUGGAUAAGGAUAGCACAAUCACUAUCACCACUUUCACAGAAAAGACAGCUUUGGAUCUGGGCCAGCUAUGACCUAAAAAUCCACUUAAAACUCAUUGAAGAAGCACUUGAAGAAUGUGGAUCUAUGACUAGGAGACAGGCCUGAAUAAAAUAAUGUAAUAUUUCUUAUAA